AACGAACGCUGGCGGCAUGCCUAACACAUGCAAGUCGAACGAUUGCCUUCGGGUGAUAGUGGCGCACGGGUGCGUAACGCGUGGGAAUCUGCCCUUAGGUUCGGAAUAACAGCUGGAAACGGCUGCUAAUACCGGAUGAUAUCGCGAGAUCAAAGAUUUAUCGCCUGAGGAUGAGCCCGCGUUGGAUUAGGUAGUUGGUGGGGUAAAGGCCUACCAGGCCGACGAUCCAUAGCUGGUCUGAGAGGAUGAUCAGCCACACUGGGACUGAGACACGGCCCAGACUCCUACGGGAGGCAGCAGUGGGGAAUAUUGGACAAUGGGCGCAAGCCUGAUCCAGCAAUGCCGCGUGAGUGAUGAAGGCCCUAGGGUUGUAAAGCUCUUUUACCCGGGAAGAUAAUGACUGUACCGGGAGAAUAAGCCCCGGCUAACUCCGUG
rnacentral:rRNA from 1 species